rnacentral:rRNA from 1 species
CGGGACGGGUGAGUAACGCGUGGAUAACCUGCCGUAUGCAGGGGGAUACCAACUGGAAACAGUUGCUAAUACCGCAUAAGCGCACAGCACCGCAUGGUGCAGUGUGAAAAGAUUUAUCGGCAUACGAUGGAUCCGCGUCCGAUUAGCCAGUUGGCGGGGUAGAAGCCCACCAAAGCGACGAUCGGUAGCCGGCCUGAGAGGGCGGACGGCCACAUUGGGACUGAGACACGGCCCAAACUCCUACGGAAGGCAGCAG